rnacentral:lncRNA from 1 species
CAAAAGGCUUUAAAAUAUUUUUAUUAUAUAUAUAUUUUAUGCAUAUUGUCGAUAACUGACAUUAAAGGACUGGUGCUUGACAAAAAAAGUAGAGACUAAAGCGCCUCCUGGUGUUGAGUGGCAGUGCUACAUGCCGCUUUGUUGUACGCCACAAACGCUAAUUUCUCUGCGCAGACUCAGUCAGAAGUCACGCACAUGCUGCCACCGUGGGGUGUGAUAGGUAGCAGCAAUAUUGCCAUGUUGUGAGAGGAACGGGGAAACGCGUCCACUGCUCCACUCACCUCCUGCCUCCCUCUCACUGGCCAAGCGCCUCCGGUCAUCCUCCCCAGCUCCUCCAGUGUCCUCUCCCCGAACGACGACUUGUCCCCUCGCUCCAAGCAUGUCUGCAAAUGCGUCCCCGAACUCGCACAUUGACACUAACACAGAGGCCAAUUCACCAUGCAGAUCCACAGACCAAAAACGAUUUUAUAUUUAUUUUUGUCUGUAUUUUAUCAUUUAGUUAAUAACGUAAAAAUGCUAAAUAUAUUAUUAUUAUUGGCUUCCAUUAUCUCCUCCUUGAACCAUCACCUUAUCGUGGUGGAGGAGUUUGCCCUAAUGAUCCUAGGAGCUAUGUUGACUGGGGAACUUGGUGCCCCGGGUAGGGUCUCCGCCGAUUUACCGGUCAAUCUACACGCCAAUCCUCACCUAUGGUCAUGACUUUUGGGUCUCAUGAGUUUCUUCCGUAGGGCGGCUGGGCUCAGCCUUAGAGAUGGGGUGAGGAUCUCGGACAUUCGGGAGGGAAUCAGAGUAGAACUCCUGGAUGCCUCCCUGGGGAGGUUUUUCGGGCAUGUCCUGCCGGCAGGAGGCGCCCGGAUCCACCCAGAACAUGCUGGAGAAAUGAUACUGUAUCUCCAAUCUGGUCUGGGAACACCUUGGGGUCCUGCUGGAGGUGGCUGGGGAGAGGGCUGUAUGGGAUUCCCUACGUGGGAUGCUGUCCCCAUGACCCGGACCUGGAUAAGCGGAGGAAGACAACAACGACGACGGCUUCCACUGACUUUGUGGGCUCGCCGCCGUGACACAAAACAAAGGAAACAAACAAACCAGCAGGCGUGAGGCACAAGGCCAGGAACAAAAUCUAACACAAAGGUAAGUAGUCGAUUCCACAUUAAUGCAGCAGCCAUGUCUGCAUGCUGCGUUUAGGGUUUUAUGGAGUCCCGAUCUAUUAAGCCCAACUGGUGUCAGCUGGGAUGUAUUAGGACUUGGAAUGGAAUUAGGUGGCCCUGGGGCAUCACAGUGAGGAUGGAACGGAAUCAUUUCACAUACAAAAAAUAAAU